rnacentral:rRNA from 1 species
UACGUAGGGGGCAAGCGUUGUCCGGAAUCAUUGGGCGUAAAGAGCGUGUAGGCGGCCCGGUAAGUCCGCUGUGAAAGUCCAGGGCUCAACCCUGGGAUGCCGGUGGAUACUGUCGGGCUCGAGUCCGGAAGAGGAGUGUGGAAUUCCGUGGUGUAGCGGUGAAAUGCGCAGAUAUCAGGAGGAACACCAAUGGCGAAGGCAGCACUCUGGGACGUGACUGACGCUGAGACGCGAAAGCAUGGGAGCAAACAGG